GGACGAUGACGAUUCGUGUGAAAGGUCUCGUUCGUCGUAAUGGCGUAUGCGCCUUGCCGACCAUCCUGAUAUAUCACCACCCAUAUUCCGAGUCC